UCCCUCAUUUGUUUCCCAUUUGCAUUCUCGUUCCUGUUUACUAAACUCGUCUUGAACGUCCCUAAGAACAGUUAGAAUCUCCCAUGAAUUGCUUAGAGUAACGUCGUAAAAGGGUAGAGGAGAUUGGGUGGUUUGAUGAGAUCAUUUGCAUGGGGAACCUAACACCUUGUCCUUCGUUUUGUUGCCGUUUUACGUCUAGUGCUCCCACAUUCAGCACUUCAUGCACAUAAUUGGGCC
rnacentral:lncRNA from 1 species